rnacentral:rRNA from 1 species
UAAUACGUAGGGUGCAAGCGUUGUCCGGAAUUAUUGGGCGUAAAGAGCUCGUAGGCGGUUUGUCGCGUCUGCUGUGAAAUCCCGAGGCUCAACCUCGGGCUUGCAGUGGGUACGGGCAGACUAGAGUGCGGUAGGGGAGAUUGGAAUUCCUGGUGUAGCGGUGGAAUGCGCAGAUAUCAGGAGGAACACCGAUGGCGAAGGCAGAUCUCUGGGCCGUAACUGACGCUGAGGAGCGAAAGCGUGGGGAGCGAACAGGAUUAGAUACCCUGGUAGUCCACGCCGUAAACGUUGGGCGCUAGAUGUAGGGACCUUUCCACGGUUUCUGUGUCGUAGCUAACGCAUUAAGCGCCCCGCCUGGGGAGUACGGCCGCAAGGCUAAA